AACAUCGGAACGUACCCUGUUGUGGGGGAUAACUAGUCGAAAGAUUAGCUAAUACCGCAUACGACCUGAGGGUGAAAGUGGGGGACCGCAAGGCCUCACGCAGCAGGAGCGGCCGAUGUCUGAUUAGCUAGUUGGUGGGGUAAAGGCCCACCAAGGCGACGAUCAGUAGCUGGUCUGAGAGGACGAUCAGCCACACUGGGACUGAGACACGGCCCAGACUCCUACGGGAGGCAGCAGUGGGGAAUUUUGGACAAUGGGGGCAACCCUGAUCCAGCAAUGCCGCGUGUGUGAAGAAGGCCUUCGGGUUGUAAAGCACUUUUGUCCGGAAAGAAAUCGCGCUGGUUAAUACCUGGCGUGGAUGACGGUACCGGAAGAAUAAG
rnacentral:rRNA from 1 species